GGCCGUAUAGUGUAGUGGUUAUCACGGCGGAUUCUGAUUCCGUCAACCGAGGUUCGAAACCUCGUACGGCCU
rnacentral:tRNA from 1 species